CCCGUGUGGCGCAGAGUUGAUGUAGGCCGAGCGGAACGGCCCUUCGGGGUACUCGAGCGGCGAACGGGUGAGUAACACGUGAGUAACCUGCCCCAGGCUUUGGGAUAACCCCGGGAAACCGGGGCUAAUACCGGAUAUGACUGGCUGCCGCAUGGUGGUUGGUGGAAAGAUUUUUCGGCUUGGGAUGGACUCGCGGCCUAUCAGCUUGUUGGUGGGGUAAUGGCCUACCAAGGCGGCGACGGGUAGCCGGCCUGAGAGGACGACCGCCCACACUGGACUGAGACACACCAGACUCUACGGGAGGCAGCAGUGGGAUCCUGCACAUGACGAGCUGAUGCAGCGACGCCGCGUGAGGGAUGACGCCUUCGAGUUGUAAACCUCUUUCAGCAGGGACGAAGCGUUUGUGACGGUACCUGCAGAAGAAGCGCCGGCCAACUACGUGCCAGCAGCCGCGGUAAGACGUAGGGCGCAAGCGUUGUCCGGAUUUAUUGGGCGUAAAGAGCUCGUAGGCGGCUUGUCGCGUCGACUGUGAAAACCCGUGGCUCAACUUCGGGCUUGCAGUCGAUACGGGCAGGCUAGAGUUCGGUAGGGGAGACUGGAAUUCCUGGUGUAGCGGUGAAAUGCGCAGAUAUCAGGAGGAACACCGGUGGCGAAGGCGGGUCUCUGGGCCGAUACUGACGCUGAGGAGCGAAAGCGUGGGGAGCGAACAGGAUUAGAUACCCUGGUAGUCCACGCUGUAAACGUUGGGCGCUAGGUGUGGGGGGCCUCUCCGGUUCUCUGUGCCGCAGCUAACGCAUUAAGCGCCCCGCCUGGGGAGUACGGCCGCAAGGCUAAAACUCAAAGGAAUUGACGGGGGCCCGCACAAGCGGCGGAGCAUGCGGAUUAAUUCGAUGCAACGCGAAGAACCUUACCUGGGUUUGACAUCGCCGGAAAUCCUUCAGAGAUGGGGGGUCCUUCGGGGCCGGUGACAGGUGGUGCAUGGCUGUCGUCAGCUCGUGUCGUGAGAUGUUGGGUUAAGUCCCGCACGAGCGCACCCUUGUCGAUGUGCCAGCGCGUAUGCGGGACUCAUCGAGACUGCCGGGUCAACUCGAGGAAGGUGGGGAUGACGUCAAGUCAUCAUGCCCCUAAUGUCCAGGGCUUCACGCAUGCUACAAUGGCCGGUACAAUGGGCUGCGAUACCGUGAGGUGGAGCGAAUCCCAAAAAGCCGGUCUCAGUUCGGAUCGGGGUCUGCAACUCGACCCCGUGAAGUCGGAGUCGCUAGUAAUCGCAGAUCAGCAACGCUGCGGUGAAUACGUUCCCGGGCCUUGUACACACCGCCCGUCACGUCCCGAAAGUCGGCAACACCCGUAGAGCGGUGGCCUAACUCAGUCGUAGCAACCAGCAGUAGAGUUAAGGCCC
rnacentral:rRNA from 1 species